CAAGGGACGUAGCUGCUAAACCUUCGAACUUCGAAGUUCAGACCUUCAACUAGGGUUUUGGCAAGAUGAUCAUUCCGGUGCGUUGUUUCACUUGCGGCAAGGGAUGCUCUUGAUGCACUGAAUUUGGUUCGAUAUUGCUGUCGUAGAAUGCUGAUGACACACGUUGACCUCAUUGAGAAGCUUCUCAACUACAACACAUUGGAGAAAUCUGAGGGCACUUGAAAUUUCCUGAAGUAAUGAGAUUGAGCUUAGCAAGUGUUUAUACCUAGAAUGUUUCUCCUUUUGUCUGUUUCCUCUUUCUAGUUGGAAGGAGGUAGUUAAAAUGUUCCCAUAUGGAGUGAAGACUUUCGAAUCUUGUAACUCGUUAAAGUGACAUUCCAAGAAACUAGUAAACAGUAUUAUGUUGAACACAGUAGGUGUCUGUUCAA